UACGGGGGGGGCAAGCGUUGUUCGGAAUUACUGGGCGUAAAGGGUUUGUAGGUGGCUUGCUAAGUCAGACGUGAAAUCCCUCAGCUUAACUGGGGAACUGCGUCUGAUACUGGCGAGCUUGAGUGCAGGGAGAGGAACGCGGAAUUCCAGGUGUAGCGGUGAAAUGCGUAGAUAUCUGGAGGAACACCGGGUGGCGAAGGCGGCAUCCUGGACCGGCAUUGACGCUGAGGAGCGAAAGCCAGGGGAGCAAAGCGGG
rnacentral:rRNA from 1 species